CAGUAGCCGCGGUAAUACGUAGGUCCCGAGCGUUGUCCGGAUUUAUUGGGCGUAAAGCGAGCGCAGGCGGUUUGAUAAGUCUGAAGUUAAAGGCUGUGGCUCAACCAUAGUUCGCUUUGGAAACUGUCAAACUUGAGUGCAGAAGGGGAGAGUGGAAUUCCAUGUGUAGCGGUGAAAUGCGUAGAUAUAUGGAGGAACACCGGUGGCGAAAGCGGCUCUCUGGUCUGUAACUGACGCUGAGGCUCGAAAGCGUGGGGAGCGAACAGGAUUAGAUACCCCCGUAGUCCCUGUCUCUUAUACA
rnacentral:rRNA from 1 species